UACGUAGGGGGCAAGCGUUGUCCGGAAUCAUUGGGCGUAAAGAGCGUGUAGGCGGCUUGGUAAGUCCGCUGUGAAAGUCCAGGGCUCAACCCUGGAAUGCCGGUGGAAACUGUCAAGCUCGAGUCCGGAAGAGGCGAGUGGAAUUCCUGGUGUAGCGGUGAAAUGCGCAGAUAUCGGGAGGAACACCAGUGGCGAAGGCGACUACCUGGCCUGUUUCUUGACGCUGAGGCGCGAAAGCUAGGGGAGCAAACGGG
rnacentral:rRNA from 1 species